GAUGAACGCUGGCGGUGUGCCUAACACAUGCAAGUCGAGCGAACACACGAUGAGCUCUUUCUUUUGCCGUUAGCGACUGACGGGUGAGUAACACGUGCAUAACCUUCUUCUUUUUCUGGGAUAAUUUCGUGAAACCGCUGCCACUACUGGCUAAUACAUUCUACCGGUUGGUUCAAUAGUUCUUGAUGGCUUUGCUGUUACUUAUAGCCGAAUUCGCGCCGGAUUAGCUAGUUGGUAAGGUAACGGCGUACCAAGGCGACGAUGCGUAGCCGGUCUGAGAGGGUGAUCAGCCACACUGGAACUGAGACACGGUCCAGACUCCUACGGGAGGCAGCAGUAGGGAAUCUUGCACAAUGGGCGAAAGCCUGACGGAGCAACACCGCGUGAGUGAUGAAGGUCUUCGGGUCGUAAAACUCUGUUAUUAGGAAAGAAAAGAAGUAGAAGAAACUAUAGACGUCUUGACGGUACCUAAACAAAAAGCCACGGCUAACUACGUG
rnacentral:rRNA from 1 species